rnacentral:rRNA from 1 species
CGUGUAGGCGGCUUGGUAAGUCGGGUGUGAAAGCCCUCAGCUCAACUGAGGAAGUGCGCCCGAAACUGCUGAGCUUGAGUGCCGGAGAGGAUGGCGGAAUACCCCAAGUAGAGGUGAAAUUCGUAGAUAUGGGGUGGAACACCGGUGGCGAAGGCGGCCAUCUGGACGGUAACUGACGCUGAGACGCGAAAGCGUGGGUAGCAAACA